CCGAGGAAACACCUUGCUCUUCUCAUCUAUUCUAGUGUAGUGGAAACAACCUGGCAAGACCCCACACAAUGGUGAAUCCUCAGGCCAGAUGGAGAAAGAAGAAAUUUUCAGCCUGUAGCAGCAGUUGGAACAGGAAUGUGCAGCCUGAAGGGACAAGAGCUGCCAUCCGUCUGAGCAUCUCACCAUGGCAUCUCAUAAUGAGAAUCUUGGGCAGUGUUAAUAAUAUCAGCUCUGCUUGGGCAACCUGUCAGAGAGAUUGGAUGUCAGCUGCAGAGUAAAACACAGCUCCAGCCUAAUUGUGGUCCUCCAGGAGGAGCCUCAUGAAUAUGGAUAAAAAGCUGAAAAGUAUCCUGUGACACCUCGAUGAUUCUUCAAAAUGCAGAUAAUGGUAUGGACGUGGUGAAGAGUGAUAAAAUGUGUGAUUUCUUUGAAGAGGGAAGAAACUUGUGAAUGCCUGAGCUGAGUUAGGCAUAUGAAAUGGUGUGAGAGAGUUUUCUACUGAAUAGUAAUAUUCUUUUCCUAAUCUCAUUUACAGUGUCUCUAUGAUGUUUCCAAGAUAUUUUUCUGAAUUUCCUGUGCCAGACUCACAGACUUACUGAUUAAAUAUUGGACUUUACAUGGGAGCACUUUAAAAAGUGUCUGUGUAAACCAAAAAUAAAAUGCUUCUGUGAAGAAAAAAGUUUACCAUUUAUCAGUUUA